rnacentral:rRNA from 1 species
AGGACGAACGCUGGCGGCGUGCUUAACACAUGCAAGUCGAACGAGGCCCAGUCAGUAGCAAUACUGAUGAAGGCCUAGUGGCGAACGGGUGAGUAACACGUGAGAAACCUAUCCUGGUCUCUGGGAUAACAGUCGGAAACAACUGCUAAUACCGGAUGCCGUCGGAGCGCUGCAUGGCGCACUGACGAAAGGGUUACUGGAUCAGGAGGGUCUCGCGGCCUAUCAGCUUGUUGGUGGGGUAACGGCCUACCAAGGCAUCGACGGGUAGCUGGUCUGAGAGGAUGAUCAGCCACACUGGGACUGAGACACGGCCCAGACUCCUACGGGAGGCAGCAGUGGGGAAUCUUGCGCAAGUGGGCGAAAGCCUGACGCAGGCAACGCGCGUGCGGAAGAGGCCUUGGUUGUAACGCUUUACGAGAAGAACGAAACUGACGGUACUUUCGAGAAGAAGUGGCGCCAACUACGUAGCCGAGCACGCCGCGGUAA